rnacentral:rRNA from 1 species
GUGGGGAAUAUUGGACAAUGGGCGCAAGCCUGAUCCAGCCAUGCCGCGUGAGUGAUGAAGGCCUUAGGGUUGUAAAGCUCUUUCAGUGGGGACGAUAAUGACGGUACCCACAGAAGAAGCCCCGGCUAACUUCGUGCCAGCAGCCGCGGUAAUACGAAGGGGGCUAGCAUUGUUCGGAUUUACUGGGCGUAAAGCGCACGUAGGCGGGUCGUUAAGUCGGGGGUGAAAUCCUGGAGCUCAACUCCAGAACUGCCUUCGAUACUGGCGACCUAGAGUCCGGAAGAGGUGAGUGGAACUCCUAGUGUAGAGGUGGAAUUCGUAGAUAUUAGGAAGAACACCAGUGGCGAAGGCGGCUCACUGGUCCGGUACUGACGCUGAGGUGCGAAAGCGUGGGGAGCAAACAGGAUUAGAAACCCCGGUAGUCC